AAGGUCCAAUUUAUGUGGUUCCUAUAUAUCAUGGUGAAGGAUCAAAAUUUUGUUCAUGUCACUGCUAAGGCUGACCUUAAGAGGAGAGCUUUCAGGGCUCCUUUUACUUAAGUUUAUAUGUAACACUUUUUUUUUUUUUUUUUGCCUUGGCUGCUAAGGAGAUAAGGGAAUAUUAGUGGAGUCAAAAUAUUUUAAGGACUUUGUCUUAUAAAUUCUUAGUUCUAGUAAUUUAGUUAUAUACAUAUGGAUGAUUUUAUUCCUAAUUUUGUUAAGAGUGUGUAUAUGAAGAAGUUUAGGAACAACCAAAGUUUGUAUUCAAAUGAGAUGCUGGGGCACAAAGGACGUUUGGUGAAAAAGUCGAUUCAACUCAAAAAAAAUCUAGCGAGUAUACGACGUUUCCCUACUUGAACUACCUGGCUCUGUCAUGUUUCCACAUCAGCCUAGUCUGAACUGAGCAGACACAUUGAUGUAAGUUUAUUAGCCAUCCAUCUGAAGAUAAGAGAGGAAGAGUCUGA
rnacentral:lncRNA from 1 species